rnacentral:rRNA from 2 species
UAUACAUGCAGUCGAACGAACUCUGGUAUUGAUUGGUGCUUGCAUCAUGAUUUACAUUUGAGUGAGUGGCGAACUGGUGAGUAACACGUGGGAAACCUGCCCAGAAGCGGGGGAUAACACCUGGAAACAGAUGCUAAUACCGCAUAACAACUUGGACCGCAUGGUCCGAGUUUGAAAGAUGGCUUCGGCUAUCACUUUUGGAUGGUCCCGCGGCGUAUUAGCUAGAUGGUGGGGUAACGGCUCACCAUGGCAAUGAUACGUAGCCGACCUGAGAGGGUAAUCGGCCACAUUGGGACUGAGACACGGCCCAAACUCCUACGGGAGGCAGCAGUAGGGAAUCUUCCACAAUGGACGAAAGUCUGAUGGAGCAACGCCGCGUGAGUGAAGAAGGGUUUCGGCUCGUAAAACUCUGUUGUUAAAGAAGAACAUAUCUGAGAGUAACUGUUCAGGUAUUGACGGUAUUUAACCAGAAAGCCACGGCUAACUACGUGCCAGCAGCCGCGGUAAUACGUAGGUGGCAAGCGUUGUCCGGAUUUAUUGGGCGUAAAGCGAGCGCAGGCGGUUUUUUAAGUCUGAUGUGAAAGCCUUCGGCUCAACCGAAGAAGUGCAUCGGAAACUGGGAAACUUGAGUGCAGAAGAGGACAGUGGAACUCCAUGUGUAGCGGUGAAAUGCGUAGAUAUAUGGAAGAACACCAGUGGCGAAGGCGGCUGUCUGGUCUGUAACUGACGCUGAGGCUCGAAAGUAUGGGUAGCAAACAGGAUUAGAUACCCUGGUAGUCCAUACCGUAAACGAUGAAUGCUAAGUGUUGGAGGGUUUCCGCCCUUCAGUGCUGCAGCUAACGCAUUAAGCAUUCCGCCUGGGGAGUACGGCCGCAAGGCUGAACUCAAAGGAAUUGACGGGGGCCCGCACAAGCGGUGGAGCAUGUGGUUUAAUUCGAGCUACGCGAGACNUACCAGGUCUUGACAUACUAUGCAAUCUAGAGAUUAGACGUUCCCUUCGG